rnacentral:rRNA from 1 species
UACGGGGGGGGCAAGCGUUGUUCGGAAUUACUGGGCGUAAAGGGCUCGUAGGCGGCCAACUAAGUCAGACGUGAAAUCCCUCGGGCUUAACCCGGGGAACUGCGUCUGGAAUACUGGAUGGCUUGAAUCCGGGAGAGGGAUGCGGAAUUCCAGGUGUAGCGGUGAAAUGCGUGAGAUAUCGGAGGACACCGGGUGGCGAAGGCGGCAUC